CCUACGGGUGGCAGCAGUGAGGAAUAUUGGUCAAUGGGCGGGAGCCUGAACCAGCCAAGUCGCGUGAGGGAAGAAGGUACUGCGUAUUGUAAACCUCUUUUGCCAGGGGACAAAGGCGGCCACGGGUGGCCGGAAGAGGGUACCUGGAGAAAAAGCAUCGGCUAACUCCGUGCCAGCAGCCGCGGUAAUACGGAGGAUGCGAGCGUUAUCCGGAUUUAUUGGGUUUAAAGGGUGCGCAGGCGGCGUGUCAAGUCAGCGGUAAAAUGUCGGGGCUCAACCCCGGCGGGCCGUUGAAACUGGCGGGCUCGAGUUGGAGAGAAGUACGCGGAAUGCGUGGUGUAGCGGUGAAAUGCAUAGAUAUCACGAAGAACCCCGAUUGCGAAGGCAGCAUACCGGCUCCACACUGACGCUGAGGCACGAAAGCGUGGGUAUCGAACAGGAUUAGAUACCCCAGUAGUC
rnacentral:rRNA from 1 species